UGGGAAGGAGACAGAACUGUCUGCCAU
rnacentral:piRNA from 1 species